UCACUUACCUGGGCGGGGUCUAUCCAUGAUCAGGAAGGUGGAUGGCCUGGAGAAGCCUGCCUCAUUGCACAACGAGCCGGGUAACUCUAGUAUCUUCCUACGGGAGGCAUACACGUCAUAAUUUGUGGCAGCGGGGGCUCGCGUUCGCGCGGCCCCCAC
rfam:Physcomitrella patens subsp. patens PHYPAscaffold_128 genomic scaffold, whole genome shotgun sequence.